ensembl:lncRNA
UUGAACAUUAUGGUCCCAGCUGUCGACGGGCCUCCUGGACACAAACACACACACACACGUGCACGCUCUCACACACACACACACACACACACACACACACACACACACACACACACACACACACACACACACACACACACACACACACACACACACACACACACACACACACACACACACACUCUCAUGCACAUCCCGAGGCAAGCGUCUGAUCAUCCGAGGCGUCGUCUUCCAGACUUUAAAUCGCCUAUUUUCAGUCUAUAAAGUGUUUAAAAUAUUCUCCGAAAGCUCAUUUUGCCUUUUUCGCUUUAUUAUUUCACACGCAGGGGAAAUUACGGCGGCAAAAGGUAUCGAUUCGCAGAUGUGUUUGCUGAUAAUGGAGUUUUUUUGUGUGUGAAAGCAAGUCAGAAGAAAAAGACACAAGGACAACACAGCUCUGAUAUCAAGUCUACCCAUUUAUUUCCAUUUUCAGAGUAAUUUAUUUUUCUCAAUGGAUUUACUAGAUCUAUCAUAUUAGCAGGGAUAAUAUCUGUGGAUAUGAGUUUGGCUGAAAUUAGAUUACACAAAAAAAGUCAGCUAAAUAUUAGUUUAUCGGAUCUCAAGACAUUUCUCUGACAAAAACAGGGUGAAACUGUUCUCUGAAGGAACUCAAAUGUGACCUUUUAAGCCCCACUGAUUGAUGACCAGAACAAAUGUACGACAGAUUAACAAGGAGACGGAUAUUUAGUGGCUGUGGGGUUUGUUUACCAGCUAAAAUAGCAUCAGAGUACAUGAUACAAAAACCGUGCCUCAUUCAACUGAGGGGUUCUCUACAAAAAUACAUCUAAGAACUGCUUUUUUCUCCUCUAAUGCAAUCAGUUCAUCACAUUAAUAAAUAAAACCUACAUCCAUGGAGAACAUGUGGUUUGUAACCCCUGGUGGUGCACGGCUACAGGGAGAGAACACGUUUGCUGUACGAGCGCCGUCACACCAGCUAGAUAUAACCCUGGUGUUUUACGCUCAGAGCUGCAAGAAGAAGAAGAAGUGGGUUUUUGUGACAGCAAGCUGCAGGUACAAGAGAAGUGAGAACACCUAUACAGUGUCACAUGAUUCAAAAUGGCAUAAAUUGACAAUAAUUUCAAUAUUUUUAGGCUGAACAGUGGAGUGUUACCUCUGAACAAGUAUCAAAAACUGACGCUUCAGAAGGAAUAUAUUGAAACGUUGGACCACAGAGUAGAAACUCAAAGCAACAAAAGUAAAUCAAGUGAAAAAGUGAGUCAAAACUGAGUCCAGCUGUGAUUUCCAGUCAGUCUAACUGCAUGAACAUGGUUCUAAAAUGAGCUGUGAACAGCAGAACAUCCAGUUUUGGACCUAUGGCCUGUGUCUAUGUCUGCAUCAUGGCUCCGCAUGGAAAAUAAUUGAAGACGGGAAGUGAAAGAUCUGAGUGUCAGACUCCACAAAGAUUAAAAAAACUAACAAACAAACAAAAAAAACAUCCAACCAAACUGACCAGGACUACCACAGUGGAUGCAUAGUCCUGACAGUGAAGCACGGAGGUGGAAGUAUGAUGAUAUGAGGCUGCAAGAGUGCAAAAGGUGAUCCAGGAAGGUCAGAGAGCAACUAAAAAUCAGUGAACAGUAGUAAUCAGGAGGUCUAGAAGAAGUCAUAGUACCACUAAUCAGGAGGUCUAGAAGGACUCAUAGUACCACUAAUCAGGAGGUCUAGAAGGAGUCACAGUACCACUAAUCAGGAGGUCUAGAAGGAGUCAUAGUACCACUAAUCGGGAGGUCUAGAAGGAGUCAUAGUACCACUAAUUGGGAGGUCUAGAAGGAGUCAUAGUACCACUAAUCGGGAGGUCUAGAAGGAGUCAUAGUUCCACUAAUCAGGAGGUCUAGAAGGAGCCAUAGUUCCACUAAUCAGGAGGUCUAGAAGGAGUCAUAGUACCACUAAUCAGGAGGUCUAGAAGGAGUCAUAGUACCACUAAUCAGGAGGUCUAGAAGGAGUCAUAGUACCACUAAUCAGGAGGUCUAGAAGGAGUCAUAGUUCCACUAAUCAGGAGGUCUAGAAGGAGUCAUAGUUCCACUAAUCAGGAGGUCUAGAAGGAGUCAUAGUACCACUAAUCAGGAGGUCUUGUAGGAGUCAUAGUUCCACUAAUCAGGAGGUCUGGAAGGAGUCAUAGUUCCACUAAUCAAGAGGUCUAGAAGGAGUCAUAGUACCACUAAUCAGGAGGUCUAGAAGGAGUCAUAGUACCACUAAUCAGGAGGUCUAGAAGGAGUCAUAGUUCCACUAAUCAGAAGGUCUAGAAGGAGUCAUAGUUCCACUAAUCAGGAGGUCUAGAAGGAGUCAUAGUACCACUAAUCAGGAGGUCUAGAAGGAGUCAUAGUUCCACUAAUCAGAGCUCCUAAAAUGACUCCACAGACAGUGAACUACUUUCUCCAUCCAGCUGUAAAAACAGACAGCAGCUGCUUCAGACUUGGUUCAGGUGUUCUCCAUGGAAACCAGAGUUAGUGUGAAGCUCAGACAGUUUGAAGGAACCUUCAGAACAUCAACCUCUAUGGACGGGGGACAAGAACUAAACCUCGUUGCUGCUCAGAACUAAACUUCCAGAUGAAAGUUUGCUGAAGAACAUGAGAAGAAGUCUGAUGGAUGUUGAAGAACAUUCUUUGGUUAGAUGAAGAUAAAUGAGUUGGACUCAGAUGGAUCCAGAUGCUCGGUGUGAACCUGACCAGGACCACCACAGUGGAUGUAUAGUCCUGAGAGUGAAGCACGGAGGUGGUGGUAUGAUGAUCUGGAGCUGUAUGAGGAAGGUGUUGAUGACAUUUCUGGAUGCGUCAUGAAUGUCUGAGGAUAAACCAGAAUACAGAGAAUCAUCCAAAGAACUACAUGACGCAAGAAUGUCUAAAGAAGUGAAAAGUACGACGUGGAAAAUCUGUGUCUGGACUUGAACCUAAUGGAACAUCUUUGGGUGUGUUUUAAAGAGGAAGGUCGAGCAACAAAACCCUUUCAGCAAAGAGAAGCUGAAAAAAUAGAAUGACGUGACAUCUGAGCAGCAAUUUGGUUUCCUCAAUGCUGAGCAAGAUUAAUUGUCUCAAUGAAUAAAGGUGGAACCUCAGAAUUCACUUCUGUUGCACUGAGCUCCUACUGCAGGGUCUGUUGUUUUAAAUAUAGUAAAUCUAAGCUGUUGGUUUUUCAUUUUACAUCACAGCAAGCAGAUUAGAAGUACUGCCAUCACUGAGAUGUUUACUGCACAGGGGUGUACUCACUUCUGUAUACUGAGCGUCACCAUUGGCUCCAAAGUGUCACCAUUGGCUCCAUAGUGUCACCAUUGCCUUUAUAGUCACACCAUUGGCUCCACAGUGUCACCAUUGGCUUUAUAGUGUCACCAUUGGCUUUAUAGUGUCACCACUGGUUCCACCACAGCGUCACCAUGGUGACAUGUCCAACACACCGUAGAACACCUGCGGAGGAAGCAUCAGUUUGUUCCUGAUGACUUCCAUGAAGAUGGCAGAGUGGGUGAGGCUGCAGAAUAAUCAGUGUGUGUCCAGGAUCGAUAGAUUUUACAGCCUAAAGAUUUUACUCAGAAUAACAACACUGAUCCGCCCACACACACACAAAAAAACACAAUAAGCCAAAAAAAAUGCUUCUUGUAAUUGAAUUUUAAUGCACAUAGUUAUUUGUUUCUGUUUGUUUGCGGUCUGAAACCAGAGUAAUCUAUAGUCGCUGAGACGGAUCAGCGCUGCCAGGGAUGGCCCAAAGCAAUCGCAGCCAGAUGUUCGACUUCAGAGGGAACGUCAGAGAAAACAAUGUGUGGGAGUGACUCUGCUCUUCGCUCAUCGUUUCUGCUGCCGAUCACACCUCUGAAGUCUGUGCAUCGCCCUCUCUGGGUUUACAAAGAUGCGUUCGCAUUCUCUUAAUUGUGAUGGAUUUUCACUCCCGCGCUUCGUGACACAAAGUAGAAAUAAUUAAAACCGAAGUGAGCGAGAGGCCGGAUCCUCCUCCGUAACCCUUUAAAGGAAAAAGCACCCUGAGGGGCUGCUCAGGUGGAAUACAGAAACUUCCUGCAUUUCAGUGAAACAAAGCACUCGAGUUAUUUUGUCAGCGGGUGGAAAAUCACCUGUCAGGCUGCAAACCGGCUGAUGAGCAUCAUUCCAGAAUUAGGGGACAUUUUAUGUCCCACCAUCAAAUUUCCAAUAAUCCAUGUACAAAAUACUAAAACAUGCAGUUGUUGUGUAAAUGUUCUUGUCCUGAGACCAAAUCUAAAAAACAAAAUUAGGAGAAAAGAAUGUUUGAAAAUAUUUUUAAAAUACCAAAUAAGUCUGGAGUCCCCUUAAAAUGCCAUUUUUCUCUUGUCCCACGUCCCUGAUGACCAAACUGAAUCUCAAAUAAAACACUUAAAAUUACAUUUAAAUGUCCUUUUUGGUAUUAUUUUUUUCAUUGUUGUCUCUGUAAUUGUGGGAACAUUUUUUGUUAAUCAACGUAAUAUUUUAAGUAAUUAUACAUGAAACGUGUGUCCCACAACAUGUUAGCACAACCUGUUAAUGACGUUUUUGUCUUGUUUUUGUUGUUUUCUGUCUCGUUUUUGUUUUCUGUCUUGUUUUUGUUAUUGCUGUUAGCAACCCUGUUGCUGUGAUUAGAGUUAGCAAACAACACAGAAAACAUGGAAUAAAAAUGCUACCAUUGAUGUGGAAGCUGAGCCAAUCAAGCCUUUGAUAGUUUAUUACCUAUUAUUGAUCGAUAUGGAGCAGAAAACUGUAAAAGAGAAGGUUUAUUUUUCAAACAUUUUGAAGCCCAAAUAUCCUCCAGCUCUGAAACGACCCAGGAAGUGGUUGUUUGACAGUCAAAUCCUCACAUCUGGUCUCCUGUUGGAGUCACAUGUUUCGUUUGAGUCGCUAAACGUUAAGUUUUCCACCGCUUUGAGGUACUUUUAGAGCAGCAGCAGCCGAGUGAGACGGCAGAAAAUCAACAGUCUAAAACGUCAAAUGUAAAGGUCAGCCGCUGGAGUCGGUUCAUCACAACCAAAGAGCAAAGGCUUAUUUCUGAACUUAACAUUUUGCUCUGACGUUCAGCCGUCACACGCUGAAGACACCAAAUUAAAAACGGAACCCGGCGUCAGGCGUGUGCAGAGUUCUGUAGGACGAGGCUGGAUCUGAAGUAACUACGAGCUGCUUCACUUCUUACUGAGCAGUUUAUAUUCACGACAGCAGAUAAAUGCACUUUAAAACACCUCCUCCUGACCAAUCAAUUCUCCAGUUUUAAAUCCCACAGUGCUCCGUGCAAAGACAUUACUGUGGUAGAAUGUUUCAAGAUGCAAUUUCAAAGCUAAUUAAUUGUUCUAUCGGCCUUAAAUAUCAAUAAAAUCCUAAAACAGACACUAAAGUCGUGAUUUUAUAAGACUUGCAGUGAAGUUACCGAUACGUUGGAGUGAACAGUCAAACAAAUUUACUCUACUUAUUUCCUCUACUGUUGUCACUCAUCUGCACUGUUUUUAAUAUUCUGUCCCAUAUCUACCACUUUAUCUCACGGCCAUGUUUACAUUUCUAACCCUAUGGAGAUAUUCCAUUAAAAAUCAGCUGUUUCCAGCUAGAAUAGUCAUUUACCACAUUAACAAUGUCUACACUGGAUUUAUCAUUCAUUUAAUGUUAUCUUCAUUGAAAAAAAACUGCAUUUCUUUCAAAAAUAAGGACAUUUUUAAGUGACCCCAAACGUUUCAAUAGUUGUGUAUUUGUUACUUAGUUCCAGUUUUGCUUCCGUUGUUCUUAGUUGACCUGAUUUUUGCUUUCUAGUUCUUCAUUUACUUAAUUUUUGGCCUUUUUAAAUCCUAUUUUUUAUUUUUGUAAAUUUAUGUUAUAUUUUUUCAUCUCAGAAUCUUCUAAGUGUCUAUUUAAUGUCUAUUGUUGCAUGAAGAGAGAGUAAGGUCAUUUCCACCCUUGGUGUGUCAUGUCCAUAUUGAAGAAAUGACAAUAAAAUUGACUUUGACUUUUUAAAAAAAAAAAUCUGUUCUUUGCUUGCUUCAAAUAAUCUGAUUGAAAAGACCUUUAUUUUAAUUAUUUCAUUAUUUAUUGACAGCAUUAAGGGACUGCAGCUAGCAAUUAAUUCCAUUAAUCUAAUGAUUAUUUUCUUGAAUAACUAAUUAGUGGUUUGGUUUACAAAAUGGUGAAACAUGACAAUGGUUGGGAAAUGUCUUGUUUUGUCCAAAUAUUUUUCACUUUUCUGUCACUGAGAAGAUGAGAAACCAGAAAAUAUUCAUAUUGAAGAAGCUGCGAUGAGGGAAUAUUGGCCAUUUUAAAAAUUACUUAACCAACCCAAUUAAUAGAUUAUCAAAUAACUGAUGAAUGUUCAACUUCUAAUAAAACGUGUUUUUAAAAAGCUGCUCUGGACAGUGAAAGCCAAACCCCUGAUCAUUGGAGCAGCAGGUUUUGUUAGCAUUCAGCUAACUGCAGCCGCCUGAUGCUGCAUUCACAUCAUGAAGGUGAAGCUCAUGUUUCUGAUGCUGUUCAGGGGUAUUUGUGUGAAUUUAAAAAAAAAAAAAAAAAAACAAGGAUGUUUUUUCUAUGUUAAAAGGGAACACCUCACACUAGAAUUGGACCAGCCAAUCAGGUUGCUUCACCCUUGUAUCGUCCUGCGGGUCAAAGUUUGAAAAUGUGGAAAACAUUUCACAGUGAAACUUCUCAUGUCCACAUUUUCAACGUUUUUGGGAAAUCUUUGAACAUUUUUUGGUGGAAGUAAAGAAUGUUAAAAAUGUUUCUUAACAACAUUCACAAAAAAAAACAAAAUUUUGCGAAUUUCACUGGAUUUUGGUUGAUUUUUAUGUGAAUGUUCUUAAAGAAAAUAUUAGAAGUAUUACUGAUAUAUAUGGAAUCACUUUAGAUAUUUUUAGGAUUUUUUGGAAGAAUUUUACUCAUUUUUGAAAAAUAUUUACAAGAACUUUCUUGCCAAAUUUGGGGACUUUUUUUUUUUUUUUUUUUUAAAUAAAACUUUUAAGGGAAACUUUUAAGGAAUUGUUGGAAUUUACUUCCUGAAGGUUUUGCGAAUUUUCAGAAAUUUGGGGAUUUUUUUUUGCUGAAUUUUUUUUAUUUUUUCAGACAAGGAAACAAUAUUUUGUGGUGCCUGUAAAUGAGGAAAACAGGAGGGUUAAUGUUAAGAUCACCAAAAAACAGCUGCAACUAGCGAUUAAUUCCAUUUUCUGUUGAUUAUUUUCUCGAUUAAUUGAUUGUUCGGUCUAUAAAAUGGGGCAAAAUGUUGAUCAGUGCAUUUCUGGAAGCUCAAGUUGACAAAAGUCUUAUUUUGUCCAAAUAUUUUCAGUUUUCUGUCACUGAGAAGGAAAAAAAAUGAAAAUAUUUACAUUUAAGAAGCUGUAGCUAGACAAUUCAGGCGUUUUUUAGAUGACUUAACCCAGUAAAGUGUCCAAUAGUUGACAAUGAAUGUUUCUGAAAAGUCAAAUCCAUAUUCUUCUAUUUAAUGUUAAAUUUCUAAUGCUGCUCUGGACAGUGAAAGCUAAACCUCUGAUCAUUUGAGCAGCAGGUUUUGUUAGCAUUCAGCUAACUGCAGCCGCCUGAUGCUGCAUUCACAUCAUGCGGGAACAGAAAAUUUCCCAUUAUUCCGACUGGCUAGUGUUCACACAUCCAUUAUCUCUGCCCACUUAUACUCGCACACCCUGAACGUGUCGUCUUCUUUUACUAUUCUCUCCUCGUCGUGCUGCAGCGUCGCAUUUAACACGACUCACAAUGGGCAUUUCUUUGAAACUCUGGCAGCAGAAUGCGUCUUCUUUUAUUACUAUUCGUGUACUUUCUUUCUUUCUGUCGAACUGGUGCUGACUUACGAUGGAAAUCGACUGCAGAUGGUGCAGUUUUGGGGAUGCGGUGCUGUUAAUUUAGCCUCCAGCUUCCAGUCUUAUGAUGAGCAACCAGCUGCAUGUACUCAGAUUUUAUUGAAACGUUCAACAAACUGACUCAGAAGCAGCUCCCCGAGACCUGGAGACAAACUUUGAUGUGCAAAAUCGGUGGAGUUUUCCUUUAAUUUCUGCUUUUAGGUCCAUUCCAGAUUUGGAAGACAUUUUACCCAUCAAAUUUCAAAUAAUCCAAAAUACUAAAACAUGCAGUUGUUGUGUAAAUGUUCUUGUCCUGAGACCAAAUCGAAAAAGAAAAAUUAUUGAAAAUAUUUUUAAAAUACCAAAUAAGUCUGGAGUUCCUCUAAAAUGACAUUUUUCUCUUGUCCCACCCCCUGAUGACCAAACUGAAUCCUGUUUCUUGAAUCCUGAAUCUUGUCUCUGUCAUUUUGUGUCUUGUUUUUGUCAUUUUGUGUCUUGUUUUUUCAUUUUGUCUCAUUUUUGUCAUUAUGUGUCUUUUUUUGUUGUUUUGUGUCUUGUUUUUUUCAAUUUGUGUCUUGUUUCUGUCAUUUUGCAUCUUGUUUUUGUCAUUUUGUGUCAUGUUUUUGUUGUUUUGUCUUGUUUUUGUUGUUUUAUGUCUCAUUUUGGUCAUUUUGUGUCUCAUUUUUAUUUUGUCUUGUUUUUUGUCAUUUUGUGUCCUGUUUUUGUCAUUUUCUGUCUCUUUUCUGUCAUUUUCCGUCUCGUUUUUGACAUUUUGUGUCUCGUUUCUGUCGUUUUCCAUCUUGUUUUUGUCAUUUUGUCUCGUCUCUGUCGUUUUGUGCCUUUUUUCAUUUUCUGUCUUGUUGUUUUUCUCAUUUUUUUGUCUUAUUUCUAUCAUUUUGUCACGUUUUUGUUGUUUUGUGUCUCGUUUUUACCAUUUUGCAUCUUGUUUUUGUCAUUUUAUAUCUUAUUUUUGUCAUUUUGUGUCACGUUUUUGUCAUUUGAUGUCUUGUUUUUGUCAUUUCCAUCAUCAAACAGUUUUCCUAAAGAAUGUGUAGAUCAAAGCUAUGUCCUCUCUUCUAUUUUUC